GACGAACGCUGGCGGCGCGCCUAACACAUGCAAGUCGAACGAGCGAGAGAGAGCUUGCUUUCUUGAGCGAGUGGCGAGCGGGUGAGUAACGCGUGAGGAACCUGCCUCAAAGAGGGGGACAACAGUUGGAAACGACUGCUAAUACCGCAUAAGCCCACGACCCGGCAUCGGGUUGAGGGAAAAGGAGCAAUCCGCUUUGAGAUGGCCUCGCGUCCGAUUAGCUAGUUGGUGAGGUAACGGCCCACCAAGGCGACGAUCGGUAGCCGGACUGAGAGGUUGAACGGCCACAUUGGGACUGAGACACGGCCCAGACUCCUACGGGAGGCAGCAGUGGGGAAUAUUGCACAAUGGGGGAAACCCUGAUGCAGCGACGCCGCGUGGAGGAAGAAGGUCUUCGGAUUGUAAACUCCUGUUGUUGAGGAAGAUAAUGACGAUACUCAACAAGGAAGAGACGGCUAACUACGUG
rnacentral:rRNA from 1 species